GGCUCAGGAUGAACGCUAACGACAGGCUUAACAGCAUGCAAGUCGAGGGGCAUCAUGAGGUAGCAAUACCUUGAUGGCGACCGGCGCACGGCUGAGUAACGCGUAUGCAACCUGCCUGAUACCGGGGCAUAGCCCAUGGAAACGUGUGAUUAACACCCCAGUAGUACUUUUAUCCUGCCUGGGAUGGGAGUUAAAUGUUCAAGGUAUCGGAUGGGCAUGCCUCCUAUUAGUUAAUUGGCGGGGUAACAGACCACCCAGACGAUGAUAUGUAGGGGUUCUGAGAAGAAGGUCCCCCACAUUGGAACUGAGACACGGUCCUCACUCCUACGGGAGGCAACAGUGAUGAAUAUUGUUCAAUGGACGUAAGAUCAGAGCCAUGCAAGUCGCGUGAUGGGAGACUGCCCUAUGGCUUGUAAACCUCUUUUAUAAUGGAAGAAUAAAUUCUACGUGUACAAUGAUGCCUGUACCUUAUGAAUAAUCAUCUGCUAACUCCGUGCCACCAGCCGCGGUAAUACUGAGGAUGCUAGCGUUAUCCGGAUUUAUUGGAUUUAAAGGGUGCGUAGGCGGUUUAUUAUCUUAGUGGUUAGAAUAUUUGAGCUAAACUCAAUUGUGCCAUUAUAUACUGGUAAACUGGAGUACAGACGAGGUAGGCGGGAUAAGUUAAGUAGCGGUGAAAUGCAUAGAUAUAACUUAGAACUCCGAUAGCGAAGGCAGCUUACCAGACUGUAACUGACGCUGAUGCACGAGAGCGUGGGUAGCGAACAGGAUUAGAUACCCUGGUAGUCCACGCCGUAAACGAUGCUCACUGGUUCUGUGCGAUAUAUUGUACGGGAUUAAGCGAAAGUACUAAGUGAGCCACCUGGGGAGUACGUCGGCAACGAUGAAACUCAAAGGAAUUGACGGGGGCCCGCACAAGCGGAGGAACAUGUGGUUUAAUUCGAUGAUACGCGAGGAACCUUACCUGGGUUUAAAUGGGAAAUGCCGUAUUUGGAAACAGAUAUUCUCUUCGGAGCGUUUUUCAAGGUGCUGCAUGGUUGUCGUCAGCUCGUGCCGUGAGGUGUCGGGUUAAGUCCCAUAACGAGCGCAACCCUUACCGUUAGUUGCUAGCAUGUAAUGAUGAGCACUCUAACGGGACUGCCACCGUAAGGUGAGAGGAAGGCGGGGAUGACGUCAAAUCAGCACGGCCCUUACACCCAGGGCUACACACGUGUUACAAUGGCCGGUACAGAGGGCCGCUACCAGGUGACUGGAUGCCAAUCUCAAAAGCCGGUCGUAGUUCGGAUUGGAGUCUGUAACCCGACUCCAUGAAGUUGGAUUCGCUAGUAAUCGCGCAUCAGCCAUGGCGCGGUGAAUACGUUCCCGGGCCUUGUACACACCGCCCGUCAAGCCAUGGAAGCCGGGGGUGCCUGAAGUCCGUAACCGCGAGGAUCGGCCUAGGG
rnacentral:rRNA from 1 species